UACGUAGAAGACUAGUGUUAUUCAUCUUUAAUAGGUUUAAAAGGGUACCUAGACGGUAUAAUUAGUCUUUAACAGGAAACGGUUAUACUAGAGUUAUAUAUGAGGAGGUGAGUAUUUGUGGAGUAGAGUUGAAAUUCUUUGAUACCAUGAAGACUGGUAAAGGCGAAAGCAACCUUUUAUCUAAUAACUGACGUUGAGGGACGAAGGCUCGGGUCGCGAACAGG
rnacentral:rRNA from 1 species